AGAACAUGGAUCAGUACAGCAAUGGCUUUUCUUUAACAGACCACACUGAAGAUUCCGGAAAUCUGCUCUUAAAGGAACAACAUAUGAAGAAGAAGAAACCUUUGCUCCGGAAAUUCGGAAACCUGCUUAAAAAGAAGAGUACAAGCAGCAGCAGUCAAAAGUAGAGGAAGAUUAUCUCUUUGCACCUGGGCUUUUCUUGGUUUUCUUGAAAUUUCUUACGAG
rnacentral:lncRNA from 1 species